ACGUCCGUUUGCGAUCGUUAUAUCCCGCAAAAAAACGCAACAUUAAAUGUUUGGCAAAACACGCAGCAAGUGCAUUUAUGGAUGCACGUUUUGAUUCAAUCUCUCUUUCUCUGAAGGAGCCACGCUUCCUGCUCGUCGUUCCCAGAGUUACCGGCUUGUGUCGGGUAGAAUGCUGGGAAUAUCCGGAGAGGAAGGGGAAGUGACAUCACGGCGGUGACCUUCCGUGUAGCGGCCCCCGUAUCACCUGGCGCUGCCCGCGACAGCAAACAAACACGCACACACGCACACACAAUCUGUGGACGGCAGGAGAGAGAGUGACAGCUUAUUGUGUGCAAGUUCCCACGCACUCUGACAGGAAGAGUUCCAGGCUGGUCUGUGCUGCGUCUGGAGGAGGAUGAAGAGGAAGAGGAUGGUGACAAAGAGCAGCGGCUAAUGAAUGAAGCUCCUUUCUUGUCUUUGUGUGCACGCCGUGUACGUAUGCCGCUCACGUGUGCAGGAUGCGCAGGAAUGACGAGCAGAAAACAAAAGGCAGCAAGUAGCAAGAGGCAUAUGUGUGUAUGGGUGGGGAGGGGUGGGGUGAAUUGGGGGCUCGAAGUUCCAUAUGGGCGACCCCCCCCCCCCCCCCAUCCUCCCUCCCCUGCCCAACAAACAGGCAGAUGUCAAAUGGGACAUGGCUCCCCUGAUGGGGCGCAGGGUCACACUGCACAGGCCUGAAUAACACAAGAGGAGAGAAAGGGGAUGCCUUCCUGCCAACACCCCCACUUAUACCCCCCCCUUCUAAAAUCUCACUAAAAGAGACGUACAAACAUGCUAGCAGGAUGACACAAAGCAACAUGCCGACACACACACUGCCAACAACACACACACACACCAGGAUGCAAGCUCAUCCUCAUGCACGUCAAAGCAAGGACACCAUCCAUGACACCAACACACAACAUACAGACACACUACAUGCUUUUUUCAGGAAAAAUACAUUAUAUUUCUCCCAAAUUAUUAUAUAUAUAUUUUUAAGUUGUCUUUUUGGCAUGAUUUAAAGUAAUAAAAAAAUAAUAAUAAAGUAAUAAAAAUAUAAA